rnacentral:rRNA from 1 species
CAGCCGCCGCGGUAACACGUAGGUGGCAAGCGUUGUCCGGAAUUAUUGGGCGUAAAGGGCUCGCAGGCGGUUUCUUAAGUCUGAUGUGAAAGCCCCCGGCUCAACCGGGGAGGGUCAUUGGAAACUGGGAAACUUGAGUGCAGAAGAGGAGAGUGGAAUUCCACGUGUAGCGGUGAAAUGCGUAGAGAUGUGGAGGAACACCAGUGGCGAAGGCGACUCUCUGGUCUGUAACUGACGCUGAGGAGCGAAAGCGUGGGGAGCGAACAGGAUUAGAUACCCGGGUAGUCCCUGUCUCUUAUAC